rnacentral:rRNA from 1 species
AUACAGAGGGUGCAAGCGUUAAUCGGAUUUACUGGGCGUAAAGCGCGCGUAGGUGGCUAAUUAAGUCAAAUGUGAAAUCCCCGAGCUUAACUUGGGAAUUGCAUUCGAUACUGGUUAGCUAGAGUAUGGGAGAGGAUGGUAGAAUUCCAGGUGUAGCGGUGAAAUGCGUAGAGAUCUGGAGGAAUACCGAUGGCGAAGGCAGCCAUCUGGCCUAAUACUGACACUGAGGUGCGAAAGCAUGGGGAGCAAACAGGAUUAGAUACCCUGGUAGUCCAUGCCGUAAACGAUGUCUACUAGCCGUUGGGGCCCUUGAGGCUUUAGUGGCGCAGCUAACGCGAUAAGUAGACCGCCUGGGGAGUACGGUCGCAAGACUAAAACUCAAAUGAAUGGGCGGGG